rnacentral:antisense_RNA from 1 species
CUUGACCGUGCCGAGCCACAGCGGGUGCUCGGGCUCGCGGUCCUGGCCGUACGUGGCGAGUAGGGCGCCCGCCUC